rnacentral:rRNA from 1 species
GUGGGGAAUUUUGGACAAUGGGCGCAAGCCUGAUCCAGCAAUGCCGCGUGCAGGAAGAAGGCCUUCGGGUUGUAAACUGCUUUUGUACGGAACGAAACGGUCCGGGUUAAUACCCUGGGCUAAUGACGGUACCGUAAGAAUAAGCACCGGCUAACUACGUGCCAGCAGCCGCGGUAAUACGUAGGGUGCAAGCGUUAAUCGGAAUUACUGGGCGUAAAGCGUGCGCAGGCGGUGUUGUAAGACAGGCGUGAAAUCCCCGGGCUCAACCUGGGAAUUGCGCUUGUGACUGAAAGGCUGGAGUGCGGCAGAGGGGGAUGGAAUUCCGCGUGUAGCAGUGAAAUGCGUAGAUAUGCGGAGGAACACCGAUGGCGAAGGCAAUCCCCUGGGCCUGCACUGACGCUCAUGCACGAAAGCGUGGGGAGCAAACAGGAUUAGAUACCCGAGUAGUCC